UACGAAGGGGGCUAGCGUUGCUCGGAAUCACUGGGCGUAAAGGGCGCGUAGGCGGCGUUUUAAGUCGGGGGUGAAAGCCUGUGGCUCAACCACAGAAUUGCCUUCGAUACUGUAGAGCUUGAGACCGGAAGAGGUAAGUGGAACUGCGAGUGUAGAGGUGAAAUUCGUAGAUAUUCGCAAGAACACCAGUGGCGAAGGCGGCUUACUGGUCCGGUUCUGACGCUGAGGCGCGAAAGCGUGGGGAGCAAACAGG
rnacentral:rRNA from 1 species